rnacentral:tRNA from 1 species
AAGGGAGAACAGAAAAUAGUAAGUACUGAUAAUCCUUACCCUCCACGGUUAAAAUCCGAGGCUUCCUUG